AAACUACAAAUGAAUUGACGGGACCGCACAAGCGGUGGAUGAUGUGGAUUAAUUCGAUGCAACGCGAAAACCUUACCUACCCUUGACAUGUCUGGAAUCUUGGUGAGAGCCGAGGGUGCCUUCGGGAGCCAGAACACAGGUGCUGCAUGGCUGUCGUCAGCUCGUGUCGUGAGAUGUUGGGUUAAGUCCCGCAACGAGCGCAACCCUUGCCAUUAGUUGCUACGAAAGGGCACUCUAAUGGGACUGCCGGUGACAAACCGGAGGAAGGUGGGGAUGACGUCAAGUCCUCAUGGCCCUUAUAGGUGGGGCUACACACGUCAUACAAUGGCCGGUACAGAGGGUAGCCAACCCGCGAGGGGGAGCCAAUCCCACAAAGCCGGUCGUAGUCCGGAUCGCAGUCUGCAACUCGACUGCGUGAAGUCGGAAUCGCUAGUAAUCGCGGAUCAGCAUGUCGCGGUGAAUACGUUCCCGGGUCUU
rnacentral:rRNA from 1 species